GCUUGUGGGAGAGGGAGCUGUAGUUGGAGCACCAGUAGGAACCGUGGGAGGGGCUGGAGGAGAGCUGGUAGGAGAGGAAGUUGGAGAAGAUUUAGGGGCUGAAGAUGGAGGAGUGGAAGUUGACGGUGGAGAAGCGGUUGGGGAAGCGGUGGGAGCCUUGGUUGGAGAGCUCUUGGGAGCUGGAGUCGGGGAGGACGAGGGUGGUGACUUGGUUGGUGCAGAGCUGGGAGCUUGGCCGAGAGCGCAGCUGGCUAUGAGAGCUAAGAGAACGAAGCAAGCAAAAGAUUUGGCCAUUGUAAUUUUAAAGGGGAUAAGCUAGAGAGAAAUCCAACAGACUGCGAGCAGAGG
rnacentral:lncRNA from 1 species